ACGGGUAGCUGGUCUGAGAGGAUGGUCAGCCACACUGGAACUGAGACACGGUCCAGACACCUACGGGUGGCAGCAGUCGAGAAUCAUUCGCAAUGGGGGAAACCCUGACGAUGCGACGCCGCGUGGAGGAUGAAGGCCUUAGGGUUGUAAACUCCUGUCAAGAGGGAAUAAGCAAGUGAAGGUACCUCUAGAGGAAGGGGCGGCUAAUUCCGUGCCAGCAGCCGCGGUAACACGGAAGCCCCGAGCGUUGUUCGGAUUCAUUGGGCGUAAGGGGUGCGUAGGCGGCGCGGAAAGUCCGGCGUGAAAGGCAGGGGCUCAACCUCUGGACUGCGUUGGAUACUUCCGUGCUUGAGGACUGGAGGGGAGACUGGAAUUCACGGUGUAGCAGUGAAAUGCGUAGAUAUCGUGAGGAAGACCGGUGGCGAAGGCGAGUCUCUGGGCAGAUCCUGACGCUGAGGCACGAAGGCUGGGGGAGCGAACCAGGAUUAGAUACCCUGGUAGUCCCAGCAGUAAACGAUUGUGAGCUUGAUGUGGGGGGAUUCGACCCCUUCCGUGUCGAAGCUAACGGCGGAUAAGCUCACCGCCUGAGGAG
rnacentral:rRNA from 1 species